rnacentral:rRNA from 1 species
GUGGGGAAUAUUGGGCAAUGGGCGCAAGCCUGACCCAGCGACGCCGCGUGGGCGAUGAAGGCCUUCGGGUUGUAAAGCCCUGUCAUGCGGAAAGAACGACCCUGUGACGCAUACUCACAGGGAGUGACGGUACCGCAGGAGGAAGCACCGGCUAACUCCGUGCCAGCAGCCGCGGUAAUACGGAGGGUGCAAGCGUUGUUCGGAAUUAUUGGGCGUAAAGGGCGCGUAGGCGGUAAUGUAAGUCAGAUGUGAAAUACUCCGGCUCAACCAGAGAACAGCAUCUGAAACUGCAUAACUAGAGUACAGAAGAGGGAAACGGAAUUCCCGGUGUAGAGGUGAAAUUCGUAGAUAUCGGGAGGAACACCAGUGGCGAAGGCGGUUUCCUGGUCUGAUACUGACGCUGAGGCGCGAAAGCGUGGGGAGCAAACAGGAUUAGAAACCCUUGUAGUCC